UACGUAGGGUCCGAGCGUUGUCCGGAAUUAUUGGGCGUAAAGAGCUCGUAGGCGGUGUGUCACGUCGGCCGUGAAAACCUGCAGCUUAACUGUGGGCGUGCGGUCGAUACGGGGCAUCACUGGAGUUCGGCAGGGGAGACUGGAAUUCCUGGUGUAGCGGUGAAAUGCGCAGAUAUCAGGAGGAACACCAAUGGCGAAGGCAGCUCGCUGGGACGGUACUGACGCUGAGGCGCGAAAGCGUGGGUAGCGAACAGG
rnacentral:rRNA from 1 species